GGAGGGUGCGAGCGUUAAUCGGAAUUACUGGGCGUAAAGCGUGCGUAGGCGGUUCGCUAAGUCAGAUGUGAAAGCCCCGGGCUUAACCUGGGAACGGCAUUUGAUACUGGUUGACUAGAGUUGAGUAGAGGAGAGUGGAAUUUCAGGUGUAGCGGUGAAAUGCGUAGAGAUCUGAAGGAACACCAGUGGCGAAGGCGACUCUCUGGACUCAAACUGACGCUGAGGUACGAAAGCGUGGGUAGCAAACAGGAUUAGAUACCCUGGUAGUCCACGCUGUAAACGAUGAGCACUAGGUGUAGCGGGUAUUGACCCCUGCUGUGCCGUAGCUAACGCAUUAAGUGCUCCGCCUGGGGAGUACGGCCGCAAGGCUA
rnacentral:rRNA from 1 species